CAUUAUACUAUGUCACAAAAUUAGGGCACCAUUAGAGGUCAACCCCUCUCGCUCUCUCUUAAUCACCCCCAUUUAACUUUAAAAAGGCCCAAUGAGAAAGGAGGUUUUAAACAACCCCAAAGUAAUGAGAAAGAAUUCAGAAGAUUCUAUGAAGAUACCAAAGCUAAUUUAUACUCAUAAAAAUUGGUACUAAUUUGGGAGGAAAAGAAUCAAAAGAAAAUUUGCAUCAAUGCAAGAAUAGGACAAAAAACGACAUCGCCAUUGCACUUAUCAUCAUAAUAUCUGAUUUUUUUUUUAUUAGUAAAAAUCAAAAAAAAUAUCAUAUAAUCCGAUUGGAAUCGACAAAUCCGAUCGAUAAGGUCAAUAGACGAAGUUGAUUCCACAUUUUUAUGAUUUCUUUUGGAGUGAUGAGAAGAAAUUUGAGUCCUUAACACUUGGGAAGGGGCAAGUUGUCAAUUUUUUAAGCUUAAAGUUACAGCCAUUAAUUCCAUAAACUCUAUAUACUAUUAACCUAAUUUGGCACAAAAUUGUGUUGUGUUUUGGACAAAAAUUGCAUAUAACAAAUGACAGUGGUAUGUCCUUUUCCCUGUCCAUGUCCCAUGCCAACACCACUAAUUCAUAAAUAUUAAUUGCUAUCAAAAAAUUAUAUAAUCCCGAAUUUAGGUCAAGAAAUAUUAUUAGAAUUUAAAAAUAAUUAGUACAAAUUUACUUGGUUAUGAACCUCACAUACUCCAAUGAAUUUAAGUAAUUCAUUUUGAAUUCAAUUUUUUUUUUAAUCCAAAUUUAAGAACUGUGGCAAUAUUGUAUUACUAUCACCCAUGCCAUUUUCUCUUCACAAUUCAACUAUUAAAAACUAGGGUGGUUCCCAAAAAAUUCGAAAAUUGGUGAACGGAACGACCAACCGAACCGUGCUUUUGGAUUGGUUCUAUAGUUUAAUGGUUAGGUUGGUUUUUUAAAAAUUAAGACCGAAAUUUGGUUCGGUUCCGGUUUUAUUUUCAAACCGUGGUUCGAACCGAACUAUCGGAACCGCUUAUAUAUAUAUCUGUGUAUAUAUAUAUAUAUAUUUAUAAUAUACGCGAACACAUAUUUAUCUAGAACCUAACACCUAACAGCCGUAAUUUACACCUACGCGUGAUUAUUGUUGGUUUUCUUCCCACCAAAAAUAUUUUCAACUUUCCCAUGGAUAUUAAGAUUAACUCCAUCCCCUUCCCAUCAAAACCCUUCCAACUUGUUCUCUUAUCCAAGAUUUUAUCAUUAAUUUUCUUUUAUUAUCCAUUAUGAAUUUUUUCAGUUCCUUCGUUUAUCCUUUUUUGUUGUUAUCCAUUAUAAAUUCUAAACUUUUAUGAGUUUGUUAAUUGCUAUAUUAGAGUUUUCGUUGAUGUAAUAUCAUUUAAUUGUCAAUCUAUGAACUAACAUUUUGUACUAAUUUUGGUUCAACUUAAAAUAUUAAUGAAUUAUGAGUUAUUUAAACGAUACUUUUGUAAUUUUAUUUUUAUAAAAUAUUUAAAAUAUUAAUUGGUUGAAUCGGAACAGAACCGGAUACCGAACCGAUAAAACGAUUGGUUUUAGUUUGGUUCUAUACUUGUAAUGGUUAGGUUUCCGUUUUUAUUUUUUUAGAACCGUUAAACAUGGAUUGGUUCAUGGAUUCUUAUGGAACCGGACCAAUCCGUACCAUGGACACCCUUAAUUAAAACUGAGUUUCUCAAGUCAUGUUUCCAAGAAAGAGAACUGAUUAGACGGGCUCGAGCCUGUCUGAUCAGUUCUCUUCCAAAAAAUUACACUGCAACUGCAAAGAAGUUCAUAAUUACAUUAAUUUACCCGAAGACAUAAAAAAUUAAAUAUUGAUAUUGGGGCUCUAAAAAUGUCUCAGGAGGUGGAAACAUUUUGUUACCGAAGUAAUUUUGGCAUAUUACAAGACCACCUCUUUUUUUUUUCUUUCUGUAAUCAUGUAGUCUAGUAUUUCUAUUCGUUUUGCUUAAGUAUCUCAUUGUUGAGGUAUUAAAUUAGAGUAUUCUUAAUUUGAAGCUAUUAUUUCCAAAUAUGCCAUGCCCUCAUGGUCUACUUUAGGUAUUUGACAAUUACAGGAACCUCCAGUUAAGUUCCGAAACAACAGUAACCUCUAUCCUGCUUCACUUAUCAAUUCCUAAUUCCUUUUACGGUAGUUGACCAUUACACUGAGAUUUAUGGAAUUUAUCGACAUCAGCUAAAAAGUUUGUUAUUAAUUUAUCAAAAUUUGCCCUUUUGAAAAUAUGUAGAGGCAUUGAUACCAAGCAUAAAAAAACAAAAAUGACAUUAAUCUUCCAAAUUUAAAUACAAGUUAAAAAAAAAUAAUUUUUUUAAUCACUGUCCAACAUCCAGAUCGAUCCUCCCACCACCACCUAGUGCACCACCAUCUUUAAAGCGGUUGAAAACACUCAUAGAACCCAACCCCAAGUUCCAUUGACCACCACUAACCCUCUACUCUCCAUUGGCUCGUCCCAACAUCACCACAAGCAUCGUGCGCCACCACCCUCCCAAAAUUUGGGUAUUUUCAAUUGAAAUAAAAUCGAAGAAACAUCUUCAAAAUCCAACAAUUAUAUCAAAAAGAAUUUCAUAAAUUUACGUGCACACACAAAAAAAAUCUAUAUUCAAUGAACUAGCACAACAAAUUUUUUUUUUAAAGAAAAUCACCUAUAAAGUACUAAGCGCAUUAUUACUGUGCAUCUUUUUAUAGAAAAAUUCUAGGUCAGUUAUUAGCCGGUAUUCCAAUAAGUCUACCAGAUGAGCUUCGCAUUAUUUCAGAAAUCUCAGAGGAAGUCCUUGUAAUUGUAAAAGAUCCCGGGUGAGACCCGUGUAAUUUACCCUUCAUAACUAAGUGUACUUGUAUUCUUAAUUAACUUCAAACUAUACAGCUUUGUUAAUUGUGAAUGGCUAUGUUUUUUAGGCUAGUGAAUUAUAUACACUUUUCUUUUUUCCAAUUAUAAUGUAAGUUUUAAUAUCCUUCAGACAUUAACCAUACAAGAGCUUUACAAAAUUACCCUAAUAAAGGUUCUUCAUUUUUAAGAUUUUCAGUGCUUGAAGGCUUUUUAUUUUGCAGUCCAAAUAUUUUUAGUUAUUUAUUUUUGCCCUUGAGAAUUUGUGCUUGAAUAUUUCUUGCAACUAUCAUACUUGAAUUAAAUGCAUUAGAGCAAUAAGAUGGAAUUUGUUAUCAUUAAAAUAUUUGCAAUAUAAUCGGAUUGACGCCAUAAGGCUAACAAAAUAAUAUUUUAAUUUAGUUGACCUACAAAAUAACCAUUUUAACAGAUAAAAAAUAGUGACGUGGUACAAUCUCAAUCACACAAUGAGUGCAAAUGGUAUGUAUGUAUAUUGUAGCAUUUUUCUACUAAUAUAGCACACGUAUUCGUUCUGUAUUAAGAAUUCAAAGUCCAAUUAUAUCCAAAGAAAGUGUCAAUGAUGGGUUCAUAAAAGACAGCUUAUUUGCAGUCCAAUUUUCUGAUUUUUAAGUUGCACCUGGUCAAGUAUUUUGAGUUUAUUUUAAUAAUUUAAAUAAUUGAUAUUGUAAAUUUUAUCGUGAAAAUUAAUAUUGUAAAAAAUUAUGUUGAUUAUAUACAAAUUAUUAUCCAUUAAGUACUGUUUUAUAACAUAAUAAAUGAGUAUUACACACAAGAUUAUACUCAUUUAUCUUAAUAUAAAUUGAUAUUUGAUCGACUAAUAAUUUGUAACCGAUGAGUAUAAUUUUUUAAAUUAUUAAACUUUUCGAUGAGAUGUGCAAAAUGAAUAACUUAAAUUAUCAAAAUAAGUUUAAAAUAAUAAUGAAAAUACUUGAAUUAAAUUAUGCAAUCCCAAAAUAGAUCGGAAAGAAGUUGUCCCCUUCCUGAAAAGAGUAAAUAUGUAAUCAUGUUCGUGGCGAGUCUAAUUGGUGUAAAGCGUUUCGUGGGAAUUAUGGGGAUUCAUUCCUUAUAAUUCGCAUUAUGAUCUGGAUCCCACGAAGCUUUUAUUCAUCAAAGUAAAAAACGAAAAUGCUCAUCCGUGCGAGCGAUAAAUUAUUAAAUAUUAGGCACCGUGAUGGUCCCUCUCAAAGGAACGGUGCCCAAACUCUACCCCGCUAGACCCACUUAGGCUCCGUUUGAUAAUGUUUAUAAGUUAAUUUUUUUUAAAUUAGUUAUCGAAAAAAGCAAGAAUUUUUGACUUUUUGCUUUUGUAACUUUACUUUAGCUAAAACUAAGUAAAAAAAUAAAAAAGUCAACUCUGAUUGGCUUUUUUUUACUUAUUUUAAGCUAAAAAAUCAAAAAAAAAAACAAAAAAAACCUUAAUUUAUGUUGACUAACUUGACUGGCAAAGGUACAAGCUGCCUAAGCUUUUUAAUAUUUAAAUGAAUCAUUUGUAUUAGAAAUUAAAUAUUUCCAAAUUCACAGAUAAUUGAUUUAUGGCGGCCAUUUUUCAAUACUGUAGAGUAACUGUUUUUCUUUUAUAUAUUUAAGUGGGCAUGCAAUGGUUAGUUAGUGCAUACCUUUUACUUUUAUGAAUAUUUAUAUAUUUUAAUAUGCUUUCACUGAUAUAUCUAUUUACUUUUCACGUAUCACAAUACAUUUUCUUGUGAAUAAUUAGGAUUUUUAUAUAUUUAUUUAAUAUAUUUUUAGGGCAUGGAAAGGAUGCAGCGGAAAGGAAAGUGGUAAUUUCAAGACAUAUUUAUCAAAUAUAUGGAGAAGCUUAUACUUGUAAAUAUAUAAAUACAUAAGAUUUUUUAUCUAUUAGAUAAUAUUUUUUAAAACUACCACUCUUUAGAAAUUCUUUCUUCUUCUUUUCCCUCAAGAAUUACAAAUUACGAAAGAACUGAUGUAAACAAGUUGGCCAGUUUGUAGAAUCUGCGUUGAUGAUUAGGUGGCCUUUUGCAUAGCAAACAUUUCAUUGGCAAAAUCAAACCUCCCUUUCAAAAAUUCUUAAGAGUAAUAAGGCAAUAUUCCAAGACAAAAGAUGCCUACAAAUAGUUCAAGGGUAAGAAUAUUUUUUUAUGUUCCUCCGUAGAGGCGAAUUCAGGAUUUUAGGUCAGGGAGCUAAAGUGUAAUUAAUAUAUUUUAUGGGGCUAAAGUGUAAAAAAUUUCAAAACUAAAAUAAUUUUAUAAUAUUUUAAAAUUGAGGGGGCUAUAGCCCCUUUUAGUCUAUUUCUGCU
rnacentral:lncRNA from 1 species